rnacentral:lncRNA from 10 species
CAGAGUUAUUUUCCUUAAAGGAACUUUCAGAAUAUGUUACAAGUCUGUGUCCAUGAAAAUACUGGGCAGCCAGGUAUUGAUGACCACACAUUUCUUUUAGUCAUAUUUUCUUUUGAGCUCAUAAACUAUUUCGGAGUUAUGGGAAGAAAGCUUUAAAGCUUUCAGCUUCUCAUUCUCAAAGAAAAUGAAAUCAAAGAACAAAAAUGAAAUUUACCAAAGGUCACCAAGGUGGUGACCUUUAUGUAGAUACAGACUUGGGUCUGUUUCCCAACUUAAUAUCCAGGGAUUUUUUUUCUAAUUAGACUUUAAGCAUGUUGACUAGUAAACUAUAAGUAACAAUGAUCACGUGGAAGUUGUUUAAUGAGUUGUUUCCAGGGAAGGCACUAGUGGCUCAUUUUUUCAGUCUACCCGAGGUCCCUGUACUUGAAUGUUUGAGAAGCACUUUGUUUCUUUUAAAGAUUUAUUUUACUUGGAUUUUAAUUUUUAUCUUUAUUUUUAGAGAAAACAUCUUGCUCUGUUGCUCAGGCUGGAGCGCAAUGGUGCCAUCGUAGCUUACUGUAACCUUGAACGUCUGUGCUCAAGCAAUCUUCCUGCCUCAGCCUCCUGAGUAGCUGGGACUACAGAGACAGGGUCUUGUUCUAUUGUCCAAGCUGGUCUUGAAUUCCUGACCUCAAGCAAUCCUCCUGCCUCUGCCUCCCAAAGCACUGGGAUUAUUACAGGUAUGAGCCACCGCACUGGGCCGUCAUGCUUACUCUUCGGAGAGAGAAGUGAAGUAUCUGAACGCCUCAGCCUGAGAAUGGGUCAUUUGCAAAGUAAAUAAAGGCAAUGCCAAACGUCA